GUAGGUUCAGACCAAACCAGACGUCCUCUCGUGCGGUCUCGCACUCAUGCCUCGCGGGCGCUUGACUUGCAGAAGGUCCCCAUGUAAAGCCCUACACUUGCGCGGGCGCGCGAGUCUGCCUUUGUACUGCCGCGCGGCCGCGCGGCCUGUGUUCUGCAAUUCUGAGUUUGGUUUCCUGCUUGCUGCUGCUGCUACUUACUUUAAUCCUCAUGCUAGCUUGAUUUCCAUGCCUCAUUGUACCUCCAUGCCAUGCACAUCCUCGCCUUUCAACUGGCCUUCACGCAUCCGCUCACCGAUACCUCGAAUUCCACCAAAAUGACGCCGAUUCCUGCACUUGUUCACCAAAAGGAGUUUUAAGUAUAUGCAAUGUAAAAUAACGUGAAAUACAACUAAAACAAAAUGAAAUGUACUCGAGGGGGGCAC
rnacentral:lncRNA from 1 species